GCGGCCGUAGCGCGGUGGUCCCACCUGACCCCAUGCCGAACUCAGAAGUGAAACGCCGUAGCGCCGAUGGUAGUGUGGGGUCUCCCCAUGCGAGAGUAGGGAACUGCCAGGCA
rnacentral:rRNA from 3 species